rnacentral:lncRNA from 1 species
AAAAAUUUCAAUAGCGAGUCCAAAAUAUAUAAAUGUGUCUGUUAUAAAUGAGGAAGAAGAGAAGUGGGUGAAGAGAUAUUAUGAAGUGUAAAUAUGGAAAUGGAAGACCGGGUGAUUGUGGUCGAGUGGUAAGGAGACGGGGCUGAGACACCAACAUGUUUCAGGUUCGAUCCAUCUGCUGCGCGAAACUAAGUCACAAUUAUCCUGGUCACCCAACACGGAUAUGGGCCCAUGCUUUAGGGCCUAUUUGAAUACCCGGAGAGAGGGUCUAUCCGUGGGCUGCACCUCCCCUUGGGGAUUAGUCUGGGCCUCUCCAUGGGCCUGGGAUACCCCCAGGUUAAUCAAAAAAAAAAAAAAAUAUGGAAAUGGAAGAGAAGAAGCGGAAGCAAUGAGGUUUUCGAGAAGAAGAUCAAAUCAAGAUUCAUCAUUGCCCUGCAUCGGUUUGAUAUUUAUAUAUGGAGAAAUACAUAUAUUUUACAUGUUGUAUUUUCUUUCUUAGAAGAAAAAAGUAACGAAAAGAGAAAAUAUUCAUUUUAUACAUGUGUGUGUGAGAGUAAAGCAAUGCUAUUGAUUAAAAUAAAGUUAAGAGAAAUAAAUGAAACCGAAGCAAGGGAGAACUAUAAAUACAAUAGAGAGACCUACCCAACUAAC